CUGUUGCUUGGGAAACAAAAACAAACAAUGCGGCUCACCCCAUGAAAAGCAGUGCAUAAUCAACACCAGCCUAUUCAAGGAGAUCUGCUCGAAGUGAUGUAUGCUCUUUCACUCUGGGGGCAGGGAUGACUGCAGCCUUCAGCAAUUAAGAUACAGGAGAACAUUUUUGGACCAUUGGAUUCCCUGAAAAGAGGCACUGACUGAAGCAGCAAUAUGAGUUUGUCAGAGGUCGUCAAGCUGGAUGGGGAUGGAGGCUUUGGUGGUCCACACAACGAAGAAGCAGAUGUCCCUUCCAGUGAUGUGGAGCUGACCUUCGACCUCGUGCCAUAAAAACUACUUCGGGAUCUGUGUCCCUUCCACGGGACGGUUGAGCUAACGUAGGCUAACGCGAUUAGCAUGAGGUUGUAAGUAACACGAAAGUUGGCCGGGACAUAGACAUAUCUGAUAUUGGAAGAAAGCUUAAAUUCUAAAUAAUCUAACUGCACUGCCCAAUUUACAGUAGCUAUUACAGUGAAAGAAUACCAUGCUACUGUUUGAGGAGAGUGCACAAUUUUGAACAUGAAAAGUUAUUAAUAAACAAAUUAGGCACAUUUGGGCAGUCUUGAAACAACAUUUUGAACAGAAAUGCAAAGGGUCAUUGGAUCAGUCUAAAACUUUGCACAUGCACUGCUGCCAUCUAGUGGCCAAAAUCUAAAUUGCACCUCUUAAGGAUCCACCCCUUCUUUCAAUUUUCACCUAAAAUGACAUACCCACAUCUGACUGCCUGUAACUCAGGACCUGAAGCAAGGAUAUACAUAUUAUUGGUACCAUUUGAAAGGAAAGACUUUGACGUUUGUGGAGAUGUUAAAGGAAUGUAGGAAUAUAACACAAUAUAUCUGGUGAAAGAUAAUACAAAGAUGUCCGGUACAGACAGGGAUGACAGGGAGGGCAGCGGUUGUUCUGGCCCUGGUACCACUCUGAAUAAAUAAAUACUGUGCCUUUGAA